UCCUCCCGAGUGCUUGCACUCAAUUGGAAAGAGGAGUGGCGGACGGGUGAGUAACACGUGGGUAACCUACCCAUCAGAGGGGGAUAACACUUGGAAACAGGUGCUAAUACCGCACAACAGUUUAUGCCGCAUGGCAUAAGAGUGAAAGGCGCUUUCGGGUGUCGUUGAUGGAUGGACCCGCGGUGCAUUAGCUAGUUGGUGAGGUAACGGCUCACCAAGGCCACGAUGCAUAGCCGACCUGAGAGGGUGAUCGGCCACACUGGGACUGAGACACGGCCCAGACUCCUACGGGAGGCAGCAGUAGGGAAUCUUCGGCAAUGGACGAAAGUCUGACCGAGCAACGCCGCGUGAGUGAAGAAGGUUUUCGGAUCGUAAAACUCUGUUGUUAGAGAAGAACAAGGACGUUAGUAACUGAACGUCCCCUGACGGUAUCUAACCAGAAAGCCACGGCUAACUACGUGCCAGCAGCCGCGGUAAUACGUAGGUGGCAAGCGUUGUCCGGAUUUAUUGGGCGUAAAGCGAGCGCAGGCGGUUUCUUAAGUCUGAUGUGAAAGCCCCCGGCUCAACCGGGGAGGGUCAUUGGAAACUGGGAGACUUGAGUGCAGAAGAGGAGAGUGGAAUUCCAUGUGUAGCGGUGAAAUGCGUAGAUAUAUGGAGGAACACCAGUGGCGAAGGCGGCUCUCUGGUCUGUAACUGAC
rnacentral:rRNA from 1 species